rnacentral:rRNA from 1 species
UACGAGAGGCCCAAACGUUAUUCGGAAUUACUGGGCUUAAAGAGUUCGUAGGCGGCGUAACAAGUGGGGUGUGAAAGCCCUCGGCUCAACCGAGGAAUUGCGCUCCAAACUGUUAUGCUUGAGGGACCUAGAGGUGAGCGGAACUGAUGGUGGAGCGGUGAAAUGCGUUGAUAUCAUCAGGAACACCGGAGGCGAAGGCGGCUCACUGGGGGUCUUCUGACGCUGAGGAACGAAAGCCAGGGGAGCGAACGGG